GACAGAGGGUGCAAACGUUGUUCGGAAUUACUGGGCGUAAAGCGCGUGUAGGCGGUUCGGAAAGUCGGAUGUGAAAGCCCUGGGCUUAACCCAGGAAGUGCACUCGAAACUCCCGAACUAGAGUCCUGGAGAGGAAGGCGGAAUUCUCGGUGUAGAGGUGAAAUUCGUAGAUAUCGAGAGGAACAUCGGUGGCGAAGGCGGCCUUCUGGACAGCGACUGACGCUGAGACGCGAAAGCAUGGGGAGCAAACAGG
rnacentral:rRNA from 1 species